rnacentral:rRNA from 1 species
GCCAGCCCGCUCAAGAAACUUAAAGGAAGUUGACGGGGCCCGCACAAGCGGUGAGCAUGUGGUUUAAUUCGAUGAUACGCGAGGAACCUUACCUGGGCUCAAAUGUAUGUUGACGUAUUCUGAAAGGGAUACUUCUUCGGACAAUAUACAAGGUGCUGCAUGGUUGUCGUCAGCUCGUGCCGUGAGGUGUCGGGUUAAGUCCCAUAACGAGCGCAACCCCUAUCAUUAGUUGCCAUCAGGUCAAGCUGGGGACUCUAAUGAAACUGCCUACGCAAGUAGUGAGGAAGGUGGGGAUGACGUCAAAUCAGCACGGCCCUUACGUCCAGGGCUACACACGUGCUACAAUGGCCGGUACAAAGGGCAGCUACCUGGUGACAGGAUGCUAAUCUCAAAAGCCGGUCUCAGUUCGGAUCGGAGUCUGCAACCCGACUCCGUGAAGCUGGAAUCGCUAGUAAUCGCGCAUCAGCCAUGGCGCGGUGAAUACGUUCCCGGGCCUU